rnacentral:rRNA from 1 species
AUGGCGGCAUGCUUACCACAUGCUAGUCGCACGGGCAGGGCAACCUGUCAGUGGCGGACGGGUGAGUACGCUAGAUCUAUCCUUGGGUGGGGGACAACCGUGGGAAACUACGGCUAAUACCGCAUGAUCCCUGAGGGGCAAAGGCGAAAGUCGCCUGAGGAGGAGCCUGCGUCUGAUUAGGUAGUUGGUGGGGUAAAGGCCUACCAAGCCUUCGAUCAGUAGCUGGUCUGAGAGGACGAUCAGCCACACUGGAACUGAGACACGGUCCAGACUCCUACGGGAGGCAGCAGUGAGGAAUAUUCCGCAAUGGGCGAAAGCCUGACGGAGCAACGCCGCGUGAGGGAUGAAGGCCUACGGGUUGUAAACCUCUUUUUCCAAAGGAGGAAGAUCUGACGUUACUUGGAGAAUAAGCAUCGGCUAACCCUGUGCCAGCAGCCGCGGUAAUCAGGGGAUGCAAGUGUUAUCCGGAAUUAUAGGGCGUAAAG